UAGAGAUUAGCUGUUCCUAAAUAUUUACAGCCAAAUGCCAACUCCCUGACACAGCUCAUGUUGCCAGUAUGGCUGAGAUAUCUGACCUUAUCAAAAAUGGUCAAACUUUUAUGAUGUAAACUUGAAUGAUUUAAAAUGACCUAAUGUAGGUGAGCGUUUUCCUCAUCACAUGUGGUGUGCUUCCCUGUUAUACGGAGCCUGGUUUCCACGUAGUGGCGUGGUGUUGUUGUUUUAGACGCUGUCUGUGUCGGAUCGUGUUUUCCCCACUGGGAUUAUAAGUUUAUUAUUUAUCUAGCCCAUUGGUCGUGGUGUCUGUGUGGAGCACAGGUAAACCCAGUGGUGACAUCUCAGCCCUAUUCUAAUGUGGUGGUGGUGGGGUGGCUCUUUGAAGCUAGUAUUGGUUUGCGCUAGCCAAUGUUAAGAAACUGUCUGAGUGAAUGUUUGCUAGCUUGUGUGACUUCAUCAGCCAACG